rnacentral:rRNA from 1 species
UACGUAGGGUGCGAGCGUUAAUCGGAAUUACUGGGCGUAAAGCGUGCGCAGGCGGUGAUGUAAGACCGAUGUGAAAUCCCCGGGCUUAACCUGGGAACUGCAUUUGUGACUGCACGGCUAGAGUGUGUCAGAGGGGGGUAGAAUUCCACGUGUAGCAGUGAAAUGCGUAGAUAUGUGGAGGAAUACCGAUGGCGAAGGCAGCCCCCUGGGAUAACACUGACGCUCAUGCACGAAAGCGUGGGGAGCAAACAGG